UACGUAGGGGGGCAAGCGUUGUCCGGAUUUAUUGGGCGUAAAGAGCGUGUAGGCGGCCAGACAGGUCAGCUGUGAAAACUCGAGGCUCAACCUCGAGACGUCGGUUGAAACCGUCUGGCUAGAGUCCGGAAGAGGAGAGUGGAAUUCCCGGUGUAGCGGUGAAAUGCGUAGAUAUUGGGAGGAACACCAGUGGCGAAGGCGGCUCACUGGACCGGAACUGACGCUGAGGCGCGAAAGCCAGGGGAGCAAACGGG
rnacentral:rRNA from 1 species